ensembl:lncRNA
GGUUUCAUUAAACACGGGGCCAAUUGCUGGAAAAUAAAUCACGAAGGAGGAGAGGCCCAUCUCCAAGCUUCAAGAGCCUACAUCCUCAUGCUCACUCGGCAAUAAUCAGAAGGAGCUACUCUAAGAGUGGAAAAUUUGUCCCAUACAUCUGAGAACUCAGCCAUGAUCAUGCGAGAAAGCCCAAGCAGCCCGUAAAGAGGUCCAAGUGGAAAAGAACUGAGGUCCCUGGCCCUCAACCUUAGCUGAGCUCCCAGCUGACAGCCAGCACCGAUUCACCAGCCCCCACUGAGCAUCCUGAAAAUGGAUCCCUCAGCCCCAGUGGUGCCAUCUUGGCUGACACUCCAGGCACAGAGUCAUCAAGCCCUUGCUGAGAAUAAACCCAACUUUGGAGGAGAACAGGAGGAGUUGCCAGACGGGAGAACAAAGAGAACCUGUCUCUGCUUCAGCCUCUCCCUAACGUCAUGAGGAGGAGAGGACCAGCUAACUGCCAGCUUUAUGGCUGUGCCUCUGGGGAGCUUUCCCAGAAGCUGUGCAUUCAGAAAAGGAGGCGUCCAGGCCCCAGAGAGCUGAUGCUCAUGGGCAGCCGGGAAUCAGCACAUGAGCCUGCCAGUCAACUGCGGUCUUCCUCCCUCUGAAGAUCAGGACUUUGACUAAUAAAAGCCAG